GUAGGAAUCUACCCUUUGGCGGGGAAUAACUUAUCGAAAGGUAGGCUAAUACCGCAUAAGAUCGAAAGAUGAACGGACGUAACUGUCCACCGAAGGAGGAGCCUGCGGCCUAUCAGUUUGUUGGUGAGGUAAUAGCUCACCAAGACUACGACGGGUAGGGGGCGUGAGAGCGCGAUCCCCCAGAAUGGUACUGAGACACGGAC
rnacentral:rRNA from 1 species